rnacentral:rRNA from 1 species
UACGUAGGCAGCAAGCGUUGUUCGGAAUUACUGGGCGUAAAGAGUGUGUAGGCGGUGCUCCAAGUCUGGUGUGAAAUCUCCCGGCUUAACUGGGAGGGUGCAUUAGAAACUGGAAUGCUAGAGGAUGGGAGAGGUAAGCGGAAUUCCUGGUGUAGCGGUGAAAUGCGUAGAUAUCAGGAGGAACACCUGUGGUGUAGACAGCUUACUGGACCAUUUCUGACGCUGAGGCGCGAAAGCUAGGGGAGCAAACAGG